CAGCAAGGUUUCCAAAAUUUUAUGAUAUAAUCACAAAUCUAUAAUAUGCUAUAAAGUUGAACACAAGAAAGCUGAAAAUGAGACAAAUACAUGGGAAAAUAUAUCUAAAGACAAUUGAGUGAUUUAGUUUUUAAAAACCUCUUAGGUGAAUACGUCCAUACAAAUGUAGCACUAGUUAUAGCCGUUCCAUGUUUUUUUGAAUUUGUGGAAACUACUACUAAUAAUUGUAUAUUACAUCCUGAUGGGCAAGUUAAAUAAGCCUUUUAAAGUGCUUUUGGUGCUCCCUUUUGCACCAAUCUGCUAUAAAAAUUUAUUCAUUUAAUAUCCUUUGUUUGCUGACUGUUUUUAAAAAAUCCAUGUGGUUUUUCUAUUCACAAAGCUAACUGAACCUGCCAUAAGCCUUUAUGCAUAAUAAUCUUUCAGAAAUCUAUUUUCUCUAAACAGGAAAAGAAUAACAUCACUUUUCAGUAAUAAUGACAUUCUAAAUAAUACAGGAACACUUUAUCUUAUGCUCAAAAGUAACUGGAUAUAAAUUCACUUUUGCCAGUACAUCUCUAACUUCUGAAAAUUCAAAGGUAGUAUUCGACCAUAUCCAAGUCUCUGAACAGAGGAGUAACAAUUUUAUUCAGGUGGUGAAACUAACAAUCAUCACAGGGAAUAACAUUAUCAGAUGUUUGUAAGUAUGAUGAGGUUUAAAACACAAUAGCCAGAAAUGGAAAUGCUAACAUCUCCAAAACAUGCAUUAAAAUUGAUUUGUUUUAUACAAGUGCUCAUUUUACACCACCUGGGAAAUUUUUGUGCUGUGAACUAGGCCAGGAAAGCAUGCUAUAACUUUUGAUAUAAUUAGAUAUGCAGACAUAAUUCAGAACUAAAGCUCUUUGACAGUCUCAGAAAGGUAAAUAUCGAUGUCACAAUAUAGUCAUAGAUUGAUGUCAUGUUAAAUCUUUAUGGUCCUCUAUGCACUUAGCUUUGCAAAUCAGAAGCAGCUAACUAAAUGAACAAAUGCCUAGAUUUCCUCAAGUUUUUCAGGACACUCAACAAUUUCUACACUGAACACUUUUCUUCACAUAGUCCUGUAAAGAACAGAAGGGAGAUGAACCUCACAUAAAAGGAGAAUGUGUGAAUUUUUUGUGUGUAGCUGUUGGCUGAUAGAGAAUUUGCUGAGAUGAGCUGUGUGAACUUGUGUCAACAGAGCUUGGCCAUAUGGUGCCCAGCUAUGUGGUCAAAUAUUAUUCUGGAUGUUUUUGUGAGAGUGGUUUGGAUAAGAUCAACAUUUAAACCAGUGGACUUGGAGUAAAGCAGACCACCAUCUAUUAUGUGGGUGGGCCCCAUUCUGUGAAAGGCUUGAACAGAACAAGUCUGGUCUUCUCUAGGCAAAAAGAAAAUAUGCCAGCAGCUGGUCUCUGGACUGGAACUGCAACAUUGGCCCCUUCCGAGUCUCUAGGCUUUUAUGCCCACCCAGCAAAAUUUGGAUUUACCAAUUUCCAAAAUAAUGUGAGUCAAUUCCUUAACUUAAAUUUAUUUCUAAACAAACAUGUAUCCUUUGAGUUUUCUUUCUUUGGAGCACCGUUAGGAGUUGAUUAAUGUCAAUGUUCUUAAUGUUGGAUGUUCUAAAGCAUUAGAAUUCCUCUAUAAGAAAGCGUUUUCCGAGUACCUUCCUUUUCAGACUUUUCUUUAGAUGGCCUGGGGCAUCUUUGAUCACAGUUAAUUUUUUUAUUCUGAUUUUGGCUAUGAUGAUGAUUUUAGAUAUAAUUUAAUGCUGGUGAGUAUAUGAAACCAGAGAUUUUUAUUUCCUUUUUGUCUUCUGGACACCUCUUACCCACAUACAUGAAUGCUCUAGCACAUGGCAUUCUUUUAGUUACCUUUUUCUUUGCCUGGAAAUGGUGAUAGACAAAUUCAAAUAUCUAUGGUAAUCAGGUAGGCGAUGAGAAUGAGUAAAGAUACUACAGAGCAUGUGUUUUACAUUGAAAAUAUACUUGGCAUACAUUUUGUGAUUCGUCUAGUCUUUUGCUUCUACCUUUUGUUUUCUCUCUUUUGAUAGAGACAUAGGUAUAGAAAAUGUUUCUAUAUUUUGAAAGAAACAGUAAUGUAAGCAUGACGGUAAAAGGCAAGUAACUUUGACCUCAAGUGAGACAACAGGAUGUGGGAAACUACUUAGAACUGAAAAGAUCAUGCCACUGGAAAACUUGAGUUUACUUAGCUGUUUUAAAAUACCAGCCUUAAAUUUAUGAGAAAAUUACAUAAAAAGGUACUCUUUCAUACAUUGUUCAAAAAUUUUUGAAUUUCCUAUUUUAAACUAACUACUUAUAUCAUACUGCAAACGUAAUAAUAAUGCAUCAUAUUUUCACAAUGUCUUGAAUAAUAUAGCUAUAUUAUUUUCAAGCAUAAUUUGGGAACCUUAAUUACCCUUUGGAUUUUUCAGCAAAUUAAAGUAAAUUCAGAUUACUUUCCCUUGUCAUCUCCUGCAGAGGUGACAUGGCCUUGACUCUGUGUGUGUGUAUGUGUGUGGGUGUGUAUGUGAUGUGCUUAGAAAAUUGUUAAUUCAUAUGAAAAUAAAAUAAAAUUAGAUUGCUACAUGAACAGUUUCAUGACUUUCUCCAGAAUUUACUUUUCAUCUAGUAUGACUGUCUUUAAAGAUAUUAAACUUUCCCUUAAUCCGCAAAUAAUCUUAGAUACUUUUCAAAGAAUUGAUAUCUCACACUUUAUGAAACCAUGUUUCUAAUAGAUAGCUUCUACUGAUAAAUGUCUAAAAUAUUUUUAGGCCACACAGUAUUUAAAAAAAGAGAUACUAUGGCAUAUUAUUUUGACUAUUUACAUAUUUAUUCAAAUGUUUUAUUAUAGUCAUGAUAAAUUCAGAGAUGUUAUGAUAUAAAUAUCUUGUUUAGGAAAAAUUAUUUUGGUCUCUUCCUCACCUUUCACUUCAAUUACCAUUUGUUUUUCUCAUGGGCAAUCUUUUAUGUUUUUAAAUCUCAUGAGCAUCGUGAACCAUGUAUUUCCUUGUCUCACUGGUAGUUGGCAAGUUAAGGUCAACUUUGUGUUCUGCCAUAUAGAAUGCAUAUUCAGAAUGAGACUUCACAGAAAAUUUCUUACUCUUUGUUUUCCUUAAUUUUAUCAAAAUUUAAAUUGAAGAAUAUAUAUAUAUAAAUAUAUAUAUAUAUAUAUACACUUGUUUUUAUUUUUAAGUAUUCUCAAGCCUUAGGGAAAGUCAGAGUGUAACUUGUGGCCACAUACUCAAAGGAAGGGAUAUUAGAAGUAAGGCACAUCAAUAUAUAAACACUGAGAGUCCAACAAAAUGAAGGAAAGGCAAGCCACAUGUGAACCCUAUCCAAAAACAUUCAAAUUCAAAUUACUUAAAAAUAUUAUUUCAAAAUCCAAACCAAUAAAAAAUCAUCUUUGAGAUAAAUUCAAACUGUGGAUGAUUUUGACACUUGUCUCACAAUGUAUGACAAGUAGACAAUUACAAUAAGAAAAUACAUAAAUGGACAGAUGAAUAAAUAUUGAAUAAUUUGAAAUUAAUGCUUUUCAAUCUAAUUCUUUCCUUUGCAACUUCUACCAUUCUAGUAUGGAUGAGUAAAAAUAAUCUUCAGUGUUCUCAUUGUCUCUAGCUUCUAAUUUAUUUAAUCCAUUCAAUAUACCGAUACAGUGAUUGCACUUCCUGUUGUUUCUAGUGUCACAUAUCCAAAAAUAAAAAGUUUCCUUUUUCAGUUUUUUCACAAAUUUGUUUUUCCACUGUCUUCUGUGAUUUCUGUUAUGCUUUUCUUGUUCUUUCUUUGGUUUUAAACUCUGCAUUCAACUUCACCAAAUACUUCUAGUUCUUCAUUGAAAUAUAACCAGAGUCAACUCUACCAGCUAUUAUCUGGACCAUUAUAAUAGCUUGUUAACUGAUCCUGCUGCCUACUUUAUUCUCUUACAUUUUAGUAUUCAGUAAGAACCAACAAAAACUAAUGUACGGCCAGCACCGAGGCUCAAUAAGCUAAUUCUCCACCUGCAGUGCUGGCACCCUGGGUUCUAGUCCCGGUCAGGGCGCCAGAUUCUGUCCCGGUUGCUCCUCGUCCAGGCCAGCUCUCUGCUGUGGCCCGGGAGUGCAGUGGAGGAUGGCCCAAGUGCUUGGGCCCUGCACCCGCAUGGGAGACCAGGAGAAGCACCUGGCUCCUGGCUUCGGGAUCAGCGCGGUGCGCCGGCAGCAGCCCACCUGCUGCAGCGGGCAUUAGGGUGUGAACCAAUGGAAAAGGAAGACCUUUCUCUCUGUCUCUCUCUCUCACUGACCACUCUGCCUGUCCAAAAAAAAAAAAAAAAAAAAACUAAUGUAGGUGCUUCUCAAAGAAUUUUUAUUUCAAAAGAAUAAAAUAUUUAUGCUAUUCCAUAUGCAGAAAACAUGAAAAAGAUAUGUAGUGAAACAUUGAUAAUGAUCUAAUUUCUACUACUCUCUGCCUACUUAUCAUUCUCCUUUUAUCUUUGUAUUCUUUAAAAUUUAGUUUUUAAAAUGUGUUGGCAAAUAUAAAUGCAGAUUUUUGGCCUAUUUUUAUCAAUUUUUUGAACAAUAUCAAAUUACUUACUUAGCAAUGAUCUUAAGAGAAAUUUUCCUUAAUACAUAUCAUGCACCUUCAUUUUUUCCAGCUUCCUUAUAUUUAACUGCAUGUUUGUAAUACAAUUUACAUAACCUCUUUCUUACUGAUAUAUGUUUAGUAUGUUGCCACAUAUACUAUUACAAAUAAUACUGCUCUUUUUUAGUACCUAUUACAUAAAAAUGAUUCUGUUCUGAAAGUUAUUUUCAUCUAAAAUUCCCAUGGUUAAGGUCAAGCUGUCCUCUAUGGGAUCUGUAUUAGUUUACCUUCAGUAACAGAAGACUGUGUCUGUUUCCCUACAAACUCAUCAAUUGAGUAUCUUAGCCAAUUUUUGAAUCAUUGCCCUCUGAUGUUUCACAAGGUGUUUUGUAGGUAGUAAGUGCUCAAUGCUUUCUGGAUUAAAUGGCAGUUAUGUCUGUUAACAUAUGGUUCUAAUGGACUGUUAACUUUAAGUCUCUUCUACAUAUUUCAAUGAUUGGAGAAUACAGAGUGGGAGGUGGAGAUAACAGCAAAUGUAUGAAUUGAUGGAGAAGAUAGAUUUUGAUUGAAUGGCAACCUGAUUUGAAAGCAUAGCAGCUACCCAGUUGCCCAUUUUCUAUCUGGAAAUCUAAAGAAGAGUGGGUUUAUCAGACUAAGUCCACCUUCAUCUACAAUACUUCCGCAGUGAUGACUGAGCCUCAUGUGAAGGACUUGUAGAGAUCCAAGGAGAAUGUCACUCAGACACUGAUUAGCAUGAACUUCUUCGAGUGAUGCAUAAUCUUUGACAACCAUGGUAGGAACUUAUUCUUCCAAGAAUAUCCAGAGGACAGGCACCUAUAGAUGUCACCUGCCAUCUCUAAUUUAUUAACUGACUUGUAACCUGCUUUCAUAGGCAUUCGUUAUAUUCUUUCACCUUGACCUUCUCUUCUACAGCUUGAUAUUGUUAUUUCAAUAAAAUGGCUUUCCCCACCCCUCACUGUGAGUAAAGGAAUCGAUCCAUAAUAUUUUAGUGUAGAAAAUUGAACUGAAAAAGUGCUGAGAACACUCACAUGUUUGAGAGCAAAGGUCAGAAAGGACUCAUUUGUGUAAAUAUUUUUAAUAUUAUUGCUGUGUACAUUAAUUACUUCCCAGUAUUUGAAAAAUUGCAUAAUUUUUAGCUAAAGAAAUACAUUUUAUCACCCUGAGACAUGCCUACAUUGCCUUAAAAAUAUGAUUACAGCAUAAUAGCAUGGAUCCAACUUUAAUUGGACACUGAGUAAAAUUAUGCAAAUGCUUUCAGGCACCCAUGCUCUAGUCUAAUAAUUGGUGACCUUUUUCACAAAGGACCAGAAGAAAAUAUUUUCGUGGCCCAAGAGGGAAAAUAGAAGAUAUAA